ensembl:lncRNA
GUCAGUGUUGAGGCUGCAUCGGGCUUUCGCUCUACACAACAAAGGGCAAACCGCCUUGCGUCAACACGGACUUCAGGGUGAAACUCGUCCUUGAGCGUCCUCCGGUUUGCUUGUUGUCCAGAAAAGCUGAAAAGACUCGCGCAGCCCAGCCAGGGGACGCCUAAUUGUCGAUGGAAAUUAGACAACACUCGCAGACUCGUCCUCUGAAGACCUUUGAGCUUGAAUCCUAGGCACUGGGGUCACCCCCCUUCCUCUCUCCAGCUAUGAGUAUCCCACACUCCCCAUCACCAAGAACAGGCAAGAGGUGGAGCCUACAGUGUUUCAGGACCCCAUCCUGCUGGACCUGCUGGUGCAGAUGCUGAAGGAGACCCAGGAGAGCGAGGACAUGAACGUGGACAUGCUGAAGUACACUCAGAAAGAUCUGGACACUGUGCUGGAAAUGACCCGAAAACAGGCGGAGGAGAGAGAGGUGGCUCUGAAGGUGCUGCAUGCUGAGAGAAAGGCGACUCUGGACACUCUGCAAGUUGAGAACCAUAGUCUCAGGCUGCAACUUCACAGUCUGCGCACUGAGCGACAGGCGACUCUGCACGCUCUGCGCGCUGAGAUCAAUAGGCUCAGGCGGGAUCUUCAGCACAUAAUGUAGUGUACACUAGCUGUAAACACCUGUUUAUCUGUGUUUAUUUACAGUCACAGUGUUUAACCUCAUGCUUCCUACUGUUGGAAAUAAAAUAUACAUGAAAUAAAACACGAGGGUAUGAGUA